AGUGGCGAACGGGUGAGUAACACGUAGGUAACUUACCUCUAAGACGAGGAUAACGACUGGAAACGGUCGCUAAAACUGGAUAGGAUAACGGGUGGCAUCACCUGUUAUUUAAAAGGGCUUAACAGCCAUACUUAGAGAAAGGCCUGCGGCGCAUUAGCUAGUUGGUGAGGUAGAGGCUCACCAAGGCGAUGAUGCGUAGCCGGACUGAGAGGUCGAACGGCCACAUUGGGACUGAGACACGGCCCAAACUCCUACGGGAGGCAGCAGUAGGGAAUUUUCGGCAAUGGGGGAAACCCUGACCGAGCAACGCCGCGUGAAUGAAGAAGUAUUUCGGUAUGUAAAGUUCUUUUAUUAAGGAAGAAUGUGUUUUAUAGGAAAUGAUAGAACAGUGACGGUACUUAAUGAAUAAGCCCCGGCUAACUAUGUGCCAGCAGCCGCGGUAAUACAUAGGGGGCAAGCGUUAUCCGGAAUUAUUGGGCGUAAAGGGUGCGUAGGCGGUCUAUUAAGUCUAAGGUGUAAGUGCAAGGCUCAACCUUGUGAUGCUUUAGAAACUGGUAGACUAGAGAUAGAUAGAGGCAAGUGGAAUUCCAUGUGUAGCGGUAAAAUGCGUAAAUAU
rnacentral:rRNA from 1 species